UUGCUCACUUUGGCAGCACAUAUACUAAAAUUGGAAUGAUACAGAGAAGAUUAGCAUGGCCCCUGCGUCUUCUGAUUAUUUAAUUGUUGUUUUAUUAUGUUUUU